rnacentral:rRNA from 1 species
UACGUAGGGGGCGAGCGUUGUCCGGAUUCAUUGGGCGUAAAGCGCGCGCAGGCGGUGGCGUGAGCCCGGCGUGAAAGCCCCCAGCUCAACUGGGGGAGGCCGUCGGAGACCGCGGCACUUGAGGCCGGUAGGGGAGAGCGGAAUUCCCGGUGUAGUGGUGGAAUGCGUAGAUAUCGGGAGGAACACCAGUGGCGAAGGCGGUUGCCUGGGGCUUUGCUGACGCUGAUGCGCGAAAGCGUGGGGAGCGAUCCGG